rnacentral:rRNA from 1 species
GCCGCGUGUGUGAAGAAGGCCUUCGGGUUGUAAAGCACUUUUGUCCGGAAAGAAAACCUUCGGGUUAAUACCCUGGGGGGAUGACGGUACCGGAAGAAUAAGCACCGGCUAACUACGUGCCAGCAGCCGCGGUAAUACGUAGGGUGCGAGCGUUAAUCGGAAUUACUGGGCGUAAAGCGUGCGCAGGCGGUGCUGUAAGACCGAUGUGAAAUCCCCGGGCUUAACCUGGGAACUGCAUUGGUGACUGCAGCGCUGGAGUAUGGCAGAGGGGGGUGGAAUUCCACGUGUAGCAGUGAAAUGCGUAGAGAUGUGGAGGAACACCGAUGGCGAAGGCAGCCCCCUGGGCCAAUACUGACGCUCAUGCACGAAAGCGUGGGGAGCAAACAGGAUUAGAUACCCUGGUAGUCCACGCCCUAAACGAUGUCAACUGGUUGUCGGGCCUUCAUUGGCUUGGUAACGUAGCU